ensembl:lncRNA
ACACACACACACACACACACGCGGUGGUGGUGUCCAUGGGGGGUCCUCUGGAUGAUUAGAGGCCUCCUCUGAUUGCUCCUCUCCUAAUGGCUCCGGUUGCUCCUCAUCAGAGGGGGAAACUCUCGCCGGUGGUUUUCGGGUCCCGUGGUGGGUGUUCGCCGCCGCCGCCGCCGCCCCCGCGUGGCUGACGGGAACUUGGCACGGUUCGAACUUCGUGUCCCGGUGGCGGUGUGCGUAUCGGUAAACGGGGGGGGGGGAUGUGUUUAAAAAAAACUAGCCGAAGGUUUCUGGCCGCACGCCGCCACGUCAGAUGACGUUAGCUAAAAUAGCAUUUUACAGGCACAUGACAUCUGCUCGCACACACCAGCGCUGUGCAUGUUGGCACAGACACACACACGCACACACACACACCAAAGCCUUGUCCUGGCUAGUAAAGAGUUGCCCGGUUAUGAGGCCCAAUAAACAUGUCAGGCUCUCCAGAUGGUCGAAUGAAGCCGCGUUCCAGCGGCUUUGUUAGUGCGUGUUGAUGUGUUUACCUUCCAUCGGAGUUUGCAGGUGUGUUUUCGUCAAAGGCCGUUUUUAAAGUGCGCGUUGUGCAGGCGGGCGUGAAGGUGCGAGCCGUCUGACCUCGGCUUAUUUAGAAAGUAACACGUGCGUGAACCUCAGUGGGGACAUUUUCGUACUCACUUUUAUAUGUUUUUUUUUAAGUACUUUCCUGACCAUUAUAUCACAUGUUCCACAUGCGCACUACUAGAUGAGAUGAUGUCUGGCCAACACUGACGGCAAUAACUUCUGUUGGCCGUAAUUAACUGCAGAAGAGGUGAACAUGUGCCAGAAUAAGCGGUUGGUGGGAAGAAAUGACAGAAUAUUUGCCUUUUUUUAAAAGGUUUAAAAGAUUUUCAAAACCGAAUGAGGAAUUGGAUUCAUAAGUCAGAUGUUCCUUAAGAAUACAGACAAUGUGAUGAAUGUAUGUUCAUCUUUACAAACGUGCUUCUGUUGCAUUAUUGUUCGUUGUCAUUGGGAGACAUACGACACGCUGCUCAGUACGGAUUAGCAAACGUUCCCCGACCGACGUGCUAAGCUAAGCUAGUGACCAAACCAAGUAAUAAACCCCCUUGACGUUUUCUUAUUUUUUUUAUUAGGAUAUUAGCUCAAUUUUCUCAAAUCCAAAAUGCAGGCGGCAAAAAAGUGUGUUUGAUCGGACGCCACAAAGGAACCCACAAACACAGCCUCACACUACAGAGGACAUGCAGUUAGUGGGAAGAUGGUAGUUCUCUCUGUGUGCUUAUGAAACAUUGACCACUACACACCCACACGCUCACACACACCGACACGCUCACACACGCGUGUGGAGUCCUGAGAGUUCUCUCAACAGGCGUGUUCUUCCUGUGAGUGCUUCCCCUCUGCAGCCCCUCUGCCAAUCGUCACGUAGGUCUGCAGCCGUGGGCGUUCAUUGACUGCGCUUAAACAACGGAGGAGGACAACAUCGUGAUGGAGUGAUACAGAAGAGGAGAGCGGUGGAAUAAUAAUGGUGCGACAGAGCGACGGGGGAGAUGGGGGGAGAGAUGGUCUGAUCGAGGGGAGGGAAUUAACUCAUUUAUGGAAGGCUUCAUUUUCUUCCAAUCUAUCUUUCUGCCUUAAUCCCUGACUAAUGGAGAUACAGGUCUGACUCCACCAGAGGAGAGGGAGAAAGGGGAGGUUGAUGAAGUGGAGGUGUAGGGAUCAAGUCAAGGGAGGGGGGGUGGGGGGGGCGAUCAGAGAAGGAAUCCACGGAGGGAGGGCAACGAGGAGAGGAACAGGGCGAUAAUUGAACUUCACCGUUCGGCGCUUUGACAAAAUCCACCUUCUCUAAUCACCCGAGGGCGAAGACGGGAGACAAGCCAGCGAGGAAAAGGGGAGGGCGGGGGGAGAAACGAGAGGCGAGAGAGGAGGAGGAGGAGGAGGAGGAGGAGGCCGGGGUAAUGGAGUGAUGAACGCGAUGACGAGGAGAGGAUGAAGAGGUAACGAGCAGCUUUCAGCCGCUAACUAAUGAGACGCAACCGUCCCCGUCGGUCGCGUCCGGAUCGAUAUCCAUGAAAGACGAGGGACGAAAGACAGCGGCUCCUCCUCCUUGCUCCUGAUGUGACACAUCUGUAAUUCAUCAUUUUCGUUUCGCCGUCCUCAGCGGAGAGUUUGGUCCGGUGACGCAAACUCUUUGUCCCACAGUAAACACACGUGAACCGAGCAAAGUCCGCACACUUCAUCCACCUUCAUUACAACUCUGGAUCUGGUCGUUAAGCAGCAGGUGCACGCUGGGCCUUUACGUGCUGCAGAGGUGUCGGAGCAGUAAGAGCGUUGCAUAAUAACACCGCCAACACUCCCAAUGGUUCCCCUCCUCUCGCGGCUCAGUGCACACGCUGCUGUGUGGCGUUUGGCACAGUGCGCGUCUCCAAUGCGCCGCCGUCUGUGCCCCUCGUUUAUUUAAUUAUUUAGAAAAACAAAAGGUCAGCCGUGGAGGCCCAGCAGGUACACUGUCACGCUGGAUGAACAGGCUUCCACACACACACACACACACACACACACACCUAUUGAGUUAUCGAGUCACUGGGCUGCGCCUCUUCAACGCCGAGUCAGCAAACGCUGUUUUUUUUUGUCUUUUUCAAGGGUCUCGAGUAGGAAAUUGAUGUUUCCUGUUUGCACACGUCAGCGAUGAAAGCUGGUUAAUAAGGGCGCCGCUAUCCAGACCAGGCCAUUCAAUGACACAAUAUGGGGAUGAAUAAAAACACAUUUCAAUGGAGUCUUCGUCAAGGCAAGUGAGUCUGCACCUCAGCCUGAUUGUUUAGGAGCUUUCGUUUAGGUGUUUCUUCUUGCAUCCCUGCAUAUUCCUCACCACCUACGCGCUCUCCUUCGUCUCCUCGUCAUCGCGCUGGUCGCUCUUUCGGGGGAAGCUGAUGGCCAGAGAAACCAUUACAAGCUGCAAAAGAGCCCCACUUUCCCUCACAACCCUCACUUUCACCUCGUUGUUAUGCUUUCAUGGCUCGGAGGAGGAGGAGGAGGAGGAGCAGGAGGAGGGAUGUUUGGAGAGAUGAUUGGAAGAGAAGAAGAGGAAAGUUUGGGGUCUGGCAGCUAGAAGUUCACCUCCGUUUCUCUCUCCCAGGGCUAAUGGGUUAGUUCAACGUGCUGAUUUCUGCAGAAAGCCGCUGUGUUGAGUGGAAAGCGUAGAGACAUCCCCCACAAUCCCUUUCUUACAUGAGUACAUCACUUGGUGGUCUCGAUAUAGCACCGGCGAGGAGAAAGAAACGCUAUUCCUCUUUGUUCCAUUAUGGCAGAAACACACGCGAGGGCCAUGAAUAAUGAAGACCGGUUACAGGCACCUUUAUCAUUAUUUCAGAGAGAGAGAGAAGGGACAAGCGACAGGACGGACAUGAGAGGGUCGGAGGGGCCAAUAAACCGCUGACUCUUCAGGUUUGGACCGAAAGAAGCUCUUUGAGAUCCGCUCGCAGCCUCGGAACAAAAGUUGGUUUCUGCAACCCCGUCUAGGCCAUUUCCUUUAAUAUACACAACUAAAUGCGCUAAAGUGCAGCCUUGUUUGAGUUUAUUUGUGUGUUUUUAGGACUUUUUGUAAAGAGGACAAACUAUAUCAAGCAGAUUUGCAACAGGAGUGAAUCAUUCAGGUGGAUUGAUGUUCCUGACCUCAUGUGCCGUUUUCUUUUCGAGGUUUAUAUUUGAUAAAUCACAACUUUGUUUUAUGAACGUUUCAUAGAAAACACUCACACGUGUAAGCAGCCUUCAUUAAAUGAAUUCAAUAAGGCAGAGUUGACUUUCGAUUUUAUCCUUUUCAAUAAUCUGUUAAACCAAACAGAAGGUACGCUGGGCUUUAAUGUUGGAUUCAAUGGCGUAAGUAAGCUCCAAUUAAAGGAAAGACAAAUACUCUCGUUUGGCUCUUAGAUGUUUAACAGACGUACAUGUUUAGGUUAGCUCGGUUUAAUUAAAGUUAGUCAGAUUUCAAUAUUUAAUUGUUUAACACGAGCAGGAAGAAGCUCAGACAAAGGAGCCGCAGUCAUUUCCAUUAAAUAUAAAUGGACUGUGAUAUCCAAGCAGAAUUAUUUUGAAAAGGUUGCAGAUGAGGAGGCGGGCGUGUGCAGGUGGGCGGAUGAGGAGGUGGGCGUGUACAGGUGGAGGGAUGAGGAGGUGGGUGUGUGCAGGUGGGCGGAUGAGGAGGUGGGCGUGUGGAGGUGGGCGUGUACAGGUGGGGGGAUGAGGAGGUGGGCGUGUGCAGGUGGGCGGAUGAGGAGGUGGGCGUGUGCAGGUGGGCGGAUGAGGAGGUGGGCGUGUGCAGGUGGGCGGAUGAAGAGGUGGGCGUGUGCAGGUGGGCGGAUACAUUCAGACGGUUUAAACUAGUUUCCUGCAUCGACCUUAAGCUCUGUUUAUCGUUGCCACGGAUACGAUUCAUAGAUCUGAGUGGAAACAGGCAACAUAAUCCCCGGUACUCAGAGAGGACGGACAUAAUUUCCCCUGUAAUGGAGAGAUAACAUUUCAAAUUCACAGCUCCGGGAGGGGAGAGGCAUCUAUAUUUCAUCCAGCGAGCAGUAAGUGGUGCAGAGAAAAGAGACGGGACACACAUUCAUAUUUCAUCAGAGAGACACUUGGCAAAAACAACCAGUAAGUGGUGAAAAAAAAAAAGAGGACGGGACAGAAAGAGAAAGGACGCGCAUUCAUAUUUCAUCAAACAGAGAUGCACGGAGUUGAUAAAAACCAGCUACAACUCUCGGGAUCGUCAAUAAAUAGGCAUGAGGGACACUUUCUGAGAAACCCAGCGGGACGCGCAUCCAUAUUUCAUCGGAGAGAGGCGACUGAAAUGGCCUCUAACAGGUGGGCAUCGAUAUAGACACAUCAAGGCCACUUAUGAGGGAGGGGCAGAGGGGCUGAGAGUGCGGGGCAGCAGCAUGUCUAACAGCUGAUAACUGCCUCCAUGAAUAAAGACACACACACAGCGACAUUUAUAGGCAGCCAUUAGACCGCAGGCCGUUACUUUGUUGACACUUUAAGACAUCCAUUUGCUCCAAAAACCAGCCGAACGGGGACAUUGUGACAUCAUCCACCGCAAACACACGACAGCCAAUCAGCACUCGGUGCUCCUUCAAAGAGGACUCGGCUCUGCUUUUUGGUCCACGUCGACGCUAGCGGGGCCAUGACCUCCUUCUGCAGCAGUGAACCAAACACAUCGAUACUUAUGAUACUUAUCAGGCGCCACACACACACACACACACACACAACACUUAUAAUCACUUAUUGUACCAGCAAUAUUAUUUAUUCUUCUAAAUGACACUGAAUGCAAAAGAUAAAUCUGUGAAAAAAUACAUGGAAAUGCACACGGACACACACGCACUCACUCCUCCAGUGCAUUGUGGGUACGGGGUUGACUAAGCGUUGUGUCUAGUGCUGCAUCUCUCUCCACUAAUGUGAUGGCUCAGCCUCUGCGUGUGAGUCUGUGUGUGUUUGUGUGUUUUGUUACACGGAUCGAAAAAAGCAGCAACUCUCCUCAUCGUCCAAAUUCAAUGUUUCUCCUUCUGUUUUGUGUGUCAGUGUGUAUCAGUGUUAGUUUUGUGUCUACAGGUGUGUGUUGUGAAUAUGUGUGUGUGUGUUAUUGAGGGGAAAUGAGGGCUCCUUAUUUGGCCUGACAACGCAAUGAGCCUGUGAGACGAGAUGAGCCUUAAUUAUUGGGCUCCGGGCCAGUAUGUGUGUAUGUGUAUGUGUGUGUUUGUGUGUGUGUGUGUGUGUUUGUCUCUGCGCCCCUCAGACUAAAAUGAUCACAGUGCUGCACUCUCGACACCGAGUGUGUUGACAACAUAAUUGGUUGGCCUGGCAUUUCAAUCCGCCACUGGAAGAUUGCUGUGGGCCGCUGCAUUCUCCGUCCCGCUAGCGGCGGCGACGGCUAACGGGACGGAGAGCGCCGCCAUGGCAACGGCCUCUCCGCCCCCUCUGCCGAUGCUCACAUGAAAUUCACUUUCAAAACUUUCUCUAGUUUUGGCUCGUUGAUUCCCGCUGGUCUCUGACCGGAGAAGACACAUAUAUAUGUAUACAUAUAUAAAUAAAUAAAUAAAUAUAUAUAUUAUUUAU